rnacentral:lncRNA from 1 species
CUGUGAUGGUGGUUUUGGAAAAAUCUGUGAGAAUCCUCAAUCUAGCCUCCCGUGAUGGGGUGGGGUGGGGGUCGAGAGGGUAUAUAAGUCCUGAGAGGCACCAGCAACUGUUCAGAAGCCGCAAGUACCUGAAGACAGAGUGGUCUGGAAGGUUAGGAAAGAGGAGGUAUUUCUCACUUGUCAGUGAAAAGAAGGAAGAAUACAUCUGAGACCAGGCGUCCUACAGCUUCUGUGAAAAGUCUCCAUGGUGAAGUCCAGGCUGAGGCUCGCUGGGAACAGUGCACAGUGAAUGUUGCUGUCAGCACUACCCAGAAAUCUCCUGAGCUGCAGGCUGUGGCAGGAGCAGUGCGGAGAACUCCAUGGAGAAAGCGGAGAGAGCCUUCCAAGCAGCUGACACGUUGUCAGCUCCAGAAGAGCAGAGUGGCAGGGGGGAGGGAUAGAUGGAAACCUACUGGAGCAGCCAUCCCUUAAUUAUUUUUGCAUAGAUUUCUGAAUUGUGGCUUCUUUGCAAAGAAACAAGAAAAAGAACAAAAAGGAAAUAAACGUGGUAUGCAGCCUACUAUUUCAGUGCCUGGAGUAUGCAGCUCACAGAUGAUCUCAGAACCUCAGGUUCUUUACCUUGUUGGAAAAGCCUGAAGGGCGAAAAAGAGGACAGAGACUCUGUCCUGAGCAAGUGGAGUGAUUGGUGGUGAAAAUCAGAUGGAUGCCCUGUAGCCCUGCGUCGGGAGGGUAAAUGUGUCUGAGAUGAGCACAUCCUCAGGAAGACAUUUGCACUUAUUCCUUGAAUGGGUUACAAGCUAUUUCUCUUCUUUCACAGCGGCCAAGUAUUGAGCCAAACCUGUAAUCAGAAAAUGUUGAUGCGCUGUCAGAUGGAGAAGGUUAUUUUUGUGUGUCUCAGUUGCCACAUUCACUAAUAUGUUCCUGUACAAAUGGGCAUAGGAGACUGUAGACGGUGCCGAUGCCAAGUUCAAAUUUGUAACUUUGUCCUCAAGCGGUGGUGGUGAACCUAUGGCACGCGCACCGCAGCCGGCUGUUUGUUAUCACUGAAAGCUCUAAAAUGUCACCAUCCCUGUCCUAGAGGCACAGUGGGAAGGAGAGCAGCAAGUCAGGAAGAAGCUGUUGUGUUAUUUGUCCUGCGGUUCUUGUGUGAAUGGCUGGGCCAAGCCAGCAGCCACCGUCCUGCUCCUCCAUGUGCCUGCAUCCAGCUUUCUGUAGUCACAAUGCUGCCACUCCCACCUGCCGUGUGACACCCUCCUGUCCACCUCUUUGCCACUGUUACAGCCCCUGGGUGAGGCCAGUCCAUAGGUCAGCUGAAUGCACUACCUCGAGAUCCUCUUGACGUCUCUCCCUGCCUCUAGAACUUGGUCCCUUCUGUGUUUCCUCCUCCCUGUGACCAGAAUGACUUUAAUAUGAAAAUGUCCCUCCUGAUCCCUUCAAAGGUUCUCUGUGGCCUUUGGGCCUUACCUGGCCUCCUUGAAUGUGACCUGUCCCCUUCUGUGACUCCACAGGCCUUUGCACAAGCCCCCUCUCUGUCUACAGCUAGUUUCUGCUUGGUUUCAUGUGAUGAUUCCUGUGUUCCCAUCAAAACUCAGCAUCAUCGCCCUCACCUCCAUGGAGCUGAUCCUGGCUUUUAUGUCCAGAAAAUUCGUCGUGUGGGAGUUCCACUGUGUUCUCUUGACUGUCUCUGCACAUGGGACACUGAACGCUUUGAGAAGAAGACCUAUGUCUUUCAGAACUGCUGUUUCACACAUCAGGCAAAGAGCAGACAGUCGUGUAAACUUAGUGAAUGGGUGAAAUCUUAGGAACAGAAAUGGAAUGCAUGUGAAGCAACCUCACUCAUAUUCCCUGCCGUUUGUUCAAGGUCAUGUCUCAUGGUCACGCCACUCCCAGGAAGGCCGGAUACUGUUAGGGAACAUUCUGGUGGCUUAUCCCACAUUCUAUUUCUUUAAUCACAAAUACUAUGCUUCUUCAUUGGUCCAUGUCCUGAACGAUGAAAGGGGACAGUGUUUUGAAAGCCAUGACAGUCAUGGUGAUGUAUUAAAAGGAGCAUAACUUGGUGACAAGGCCAAGGAUUGUCUUGUGCCAUACAAACUGGUAUUAAACCAUCAUUAUAUAGAUUGCAAUAAGGCACCAGAGACUUACCUGGAUGUACAAAAUGGGGUUCAUGACAAGGCAGAGAACUUAGUCACAUGCCCCACAUAACCUUGACAGGACUAUUUGGACAUGAUAUGGACUAAUCAUUUGCUACUUUUCUAUUUAGAGCCCAGUAGGGUUAUUCCAGACUUUCUCUUUAGAUGGGUGAUAACUUUAUUAACCAAAUUGCAUGAUAUCAAAGCAAAGUACCCCACCUAGCAUUGCACUCAUAACCUUCCCAAUGACCAACUUAAUCUUUCCCUUAUGCAAUAGCACAUUGGUCUUUCCUUGAUUGGCCAAAGAGGGUGACCUACAUCAAACUGGCUCCACCCCCUCAUCCAUUUGGGGCCAAAAGGACAGCAUAUUACCAAUCUUUGUCUCCAGGUUACUAGCUCUGUGCCUGGUGGUUAGAUGUUAAAUAGUUUAGAUAAAGCGAUUAACAGAAUAAUCUAAUGACCAUAAACAGGAAAGUAUGUGUGGGCAACUUAAUGCAUAAGAAUUAUGUCUUAAUAAGUGAAUUAUUUGAGCAUAAAUCCAAUAUUAAUUAUCAUCAAUAAUAGAUGAAAUAUAUUGAGCAUUUACUGUGAACACCACGCUCUACUGCCUCUCCCAUUAAGUGAAGACUAAGUGUUAUAAUUAUAUUUCCUUUUUUUCUUUUCAAACUAUAAGGAACUUUAAUGGCAUAAAGUGCUCAAGUAGAACCAAGGCUAGUGUGACAAAAUAUUCCUACAUAGAAGUCCUCCCUGUUUUGUUCACAUUAAUGUAGAGUGUGCUGUGAAUAAAAACAAAACAGCAAUUCAUAAACACUUGCAAGGGACAUGAGAAAAACAGCAAGCAUGGGGCCCCAUGACAGUAAGUGGGGUAAGUGGCAGCUGACAUGGAGCUCUGGGAAGUGAAACUUGCAU